rnacentral:tRNA from 1 species
GAAGUUGUGGCUCAGGGGUAGAGCACUCGCCUAGCAUGUGUGAGGCCCUGGGUUUGAUCCUCAGCAACAUAU